rnacentral:tRNA from 1 species
GGGUCGUUAGCUCAAUUGCUCAGAGCCGCCGACUCCUACUCGGCAGGUUCGGGGUUCGAGUCCCCGGCGGCCCA